ensembl:lncRNA
GAGGAGCCGCCCUGGAUGGACAGAGGGACGGAGGGACGAGCAUCCAGUCGGUUGUGUCCGGCUGCCCGCAGCAGUCUCCGACACCUGCUGCGGCCCGCCCGCUGCCCGUCUGCCUGGCAUCCCUCGAUCCCGUGAAUUAAACAGAGCGGUUCGGAGAGGGCCAAGGAUACGUCUGAGGUCACCAGUGGGAAGCAGCAGCUUGGGUCCUUGAACCUGAAUCCUGACUUGAGGUCCAGCACCCAGCACCAGGCACCCCGGGACCUGGAGCAAUAUCACAGCAGGGACUGUGUCUUCGGAAUCUGAGGCUCAGACAGGUGAGGUGACUUGCCUGAGGCUCCUUGGCCGGUGAGUGGUGGACAGAACUGCAUUGGAGACCAAAGCCCAGCAGUGGACAUCAGAACCCAGCUUGUGACCACUAAACUGGUGAUGGAGGGGGUCCAGGUUCGAUCCCUGGUCAAGGAAGCAGAUGCUAUAUGCUACAACUAAAGAUCCCGCGUGCUGCAAUGAAGAUCAAAGGUCUUGUGUGUGGCAACUAAGACUCAGUGCAGUCACAUAAUAAAUAUUUAAAAAGAAGAAAUAUACAGGGAGAAAGAGAAAUGGUUGCAAAAAUCUAAACAUUUGCUAAGAGGGUCUGUGGUAAAGACUAUGGACUUCCCUCAUAGCUCAGUUGGUAAAGAAUCUGCGGGGAGUGCAGGAGACCCGUGUUCGAUUCCUGGAUCAGGAAGAUCCCCUGGAGAAGGAAAUGGCAACCCACUCCAGUAUUCUUGCCUGGAGAAUGCCAUGGACAGAGGAGCCUGGCAGGCUACAGUCCAUGGGGUUACAUGAGUCGGACACGAUUUAGUGACUAAACCACCACCACCGUCUGUGGUAAAGAACCCACCUGCCAAUGCAGGAGAUGCAAGAGACAUGGGUUCAAUCCCUGGGUUGGGAAGAUCCCCUGGAGGAGGGCAUGGCAACCCACCCCAAUAUUCUUGCCUGGAGAAUCCCAUGGAUGGAGGAGCCUAGCUGGUCACAGUAUAUAGAGUCGAAGAAAGUCAGACACGACUGACCACGCACACACCAAGAGAGGACCCCGAGCCACCAGGCAACCACAGGCCACCUGUGGGCACUGCCAGGUGGCUGACCCCAGGACCCGCUGAAUGCCUGUCACUGCUGAAUGCCUUGGGACAUUCAGUGCAGGAGACCCAUGUUCAAUUCCUGGGUUGGGAAGAGGGGGAGGCUGCAUUUGUAGGACAUUUUGUUAAAGCAAACUGGGUAUAAAUAAGGAUUUAUGCCCACGGAUGUCUGUCGCAACUGGCCACCACCUCAGUGUUCAGCAGUAUUGGGGCUUGUUGAAAUGAAUUAUAGCACUUCCUAUGACAGAAUAUGAUGCAGCCAGUAAAUAUGACACUUAGCAAAAAAUUGUAAUUACAUAGGAAACGCUUUUGGUGUAACAUAAAAUCAGGAUAUAAAACGAUAUGUGCAUGUAUGUUAUGUCAAUAAAAAGGAAAAAGAAAAAACUAAAUGCUGUGAGCUCAACUUCAUUUAAAGACAUAUAAGGAAAAAGUGGAAAGAAAACGCCCCCAAAUUCUAACCUUAUUUAUAUCUGGCUGGUGAUUUUUAAAUUUUUAGUACUUGUUCUUUAUUGUAUUUCCAAAUUUCUACACUAAAUACUUUCAAGUUUUAAAGUUAUUUGAAAUAAAAGUGAAAACUGUAUCCUGUAUUUAAGAG